rnacentral:rRNA from 1 species
AUUGAACGCUGGCGGCAGGCCUAACACAUGCAAGUCGAACGGUAGCACAGAGAGCUUGCUCUCGGGUGACGAGUGGCGGACGGGUGAGUAAUGUCUGGGAAACUGCCCGAUGGAGGGGGAUAACUACUGGAAACGGUAGCUAAUACCGCAUAACGUCACAAGACCAAAGUGGGGGACCUUCGGGCCUCACACCAUCGGAUGUGCCCAGAUGGGAUUAGCUAGUAGGUGGGGUAAUGGCUCACCUAGGCGACGAUCCCUAGCUGGUCUGAGAGGAUGAGCAGCCACUCUGGAACUGAGACACGGUCCAGACUCCUACGGGAGGCAGCAGCGGGGAAUAUUGCACAAUGGGCGCAAGCCUGAUGCAGCCAUGCCGCGUGUAUGAAGAAGGCCUUCGGGUUGUAAAGUACUUUCAGCGGGGAGGAAGGCGGUGGAGUUAAUAACUUCACCGAUUGACGUUACCCGCAGAAGAAGCACCGGCUAACUCCGUGCCAGCCGCCGCCGUAAGAC